rnacentral:lncRNA from 1 species
CCAAACACAUAUCUAUCAAUCAACCUUUAUUCUCUUCAAUGAUCUCACUGAAGCUAACAAGCAUAAUAUGUGUAGCUUGCUAUGUUAGAUCUAAAUGCAUGUUAUAGUCUAAUCAAUAUAGUGAUACAUAAAAAUGGCAUACUAUAUUGUCUCUAGUAAAUAGUAACUUUUCCUAUGCUGAAUUUGGUAUUGAAGGGGGAAAUCACUUUGGUUAUUAGAAAAAAAGUCUAAAAGUUAAACUAGG